rnacentral:lncRNA from 1 species
GGGAAUGGCCGGAUGGGGCGGCGGCGCUUCACGCUUGUUGCCUCCCCCGCCGGGGGCGACGGCAUCGGGGGCGGAGAAGGGAGAGGAGGAGGCGGCGAAGCUUCUCAGAGAGCUGGGAUCGGGUGCACGGCGUCGUCAUCGUCGUCGUCCUCGUCGUCGUAGCCGUUGUCGGAGGGGAAGGGGCAUCGGCUUCGGGCUUGGGGGCGAGCCGGCGAGGAGAACGGAGAAGAAACCGAGAGGCGAGAAGAAAGGAGGGGUUGGGAUUCUUGGGAAGGUUCUGGAGAAACCGAGAGCUGAGAAGGAUUUAAAUGGGCCUUGGGAAGGUCCUCCGUGAGUCCGCGUCAACUGUUCCCAUCUCGGACUGGUUGCUCAUAUUCUCCUUGGGAGUUGGGACUUGGGAGGGUAGUUUGGUAUUUCAUAAGGGGUAUUUUGGCAAAUGUGUUAACAUAGAUAGCCCUCAUUUAGGCUCGUUUGGGCUCGUGAGCUGCUCGGGCUCGAGCUCGGG